CAGUCGCCACGGUAAUACGGAGGGUGCAAGCGUUAUCCGGAUUCACUGGGUUUAAAGGGUGCGUAGGCGGAUCUGUAAGUCAGUGGUGAAAUCUCCAGGCUUAACCUGGAAACUGCCGUUGAUACUAUAGGUCUUGAAUUUUGUGGAGGUUAGCGGAAUAUGUCAUGUAGCGGUGAAAUGCAUAGGUAUGACAUAGAACACCAAUUGCGAAGGCAGCUGGCUACACAACUAUUGACGCUGAGGCACGAAAGCGUGGGGAUCAAACAGGAUUAGAUACCCCUGUAGUCCCUGUCUCUUAUAC
rnacentral:rRNA from 1 species